AUUUAGCAAUGAGGAUUAGUUUGCACAGCUUGAAUGCCAGUUCUGCUUCAGAAAAUUCUUGAUUGAAAAAGCUGUUUAUUAAAUCCUGAGCUAAAU
rfam:Spinacia oleracea cultivar SynViroflay scaffold5891.con0010.1, whole genome shotgun sequence.